rnacentral:rRNA from 1 species
GAUGAACGCUAGCGGCAGGCCUAAUAUAUGCAAGUCGAACGGGAUUGGGGAGCUUGCUCCCCAUGAGAGUGGCGCACGGGUGCGUAACGCGUGAGCAACCUGCCCGUCCCAGGGGGAUAGCCCGUUGAAAGACGGAUUAACACCGCAUGAAGUAGUUAACUGGCAUCAGUAUACUACCAAAUAUUUAUAGGGGACGGAUGGGCUCGCGUGACCUUAGCUGGUUGGAGAGGUAACGGCUCACCAAGGCGACGAUGUCUAGGGGCUCUGAGAGGAGAAUCCCCCACACUGGUACUGGGACACGGACCAGACUCCGACGGGAGGCAGCAGUAAGGAAGAUUGGUCAAUGGGCGGAAGCCUGAACCAGCCAUGCCGCGUGCAGGAAGACGGCCCUACGGGUUGUAAACUGCUUUUGUACGGGAAUAAUUCCUAUUAUGUAUAAUAGGUUGAAUGUACCGUAAGAAUAAGGAUCGGCUAACUCCGUGCCAGCCGCCGCGGUAA